UACGUAGGGGGCGAGCGUUGUCCGGAUUUAUUGGGCGUAAAAGGCUUGUAGGUGGCCACGCCAAGUCGGAUGUGAAAUCUCCCGGCUCAACUGGGAGGGGUCAUUCGAUACUGGCGGGCUCGAGGCCGGUAGGGGGUAGCGGAAUUCCCGGUGUAGUGGUGGAAUGCGUAGAUAUCAGGAGGAACACCUGUGGCGAAAGCGGCUCACUGGACCACAACUGACGCUGAGGCGCGAAAGCUAGGGUAGCAAACAGG
rnacentral:rRNA from 1 species